UACGGAGGGGGCUAGCGUUGUUCGGAAUUACUGGUCGUAAAGCGCGCGUAGGCGGACCUGCAAGUCGGGGGUGAAAGCCCGAGGCUCAACCUCGGAACUGCCUUCGAUACUGCGGGUCUCGAGUCCGGGAGAGGUGAGUGGAAUUCCUAGUGUAGAGGUGAAAUUCGUAGAUAUUAGGAAGAACACCAGUGGCGAAGGCGGCUCACUGGCCCGGUACUGACGCUGAGGCGCGAAAGCGUGGGGAGCAAACAGG
rnacentral:rRNA from 1 species